rnacentral:lncRNA from 1 species
AAAAGAAAAGAAAAAAUUAAUCGAGUCCUGAAGAUGUAGAAGGCAAAAUCAUAGAUUAUCAUGCUCAAUAACUUGUGCUCCUCUCCACUCUUUACCAGGAUUCACAACUAGAGGAACCAACAUUGAAGCAGGGCCUGUGCAGAUAAAGUAAUCCUUCCCAUACUUUUCUGAAAAUGAACCAGGACUAGAUAAGUAAAUAUCUUCAAAGCCCAUACGUAUUAUCCUGAAGAAGAGCUCACGACCCUGGAAAAAAACAUGAGAAAGAUUUAAGUUUUCUGCUGUUUCGAAAGAUAGCUUUUCUGCACUUUAUUCUCUCCUGAGUUAGAUAAUAUAGAAAAAGCUGCCUGCUGUUUUUGAUGACUUUAUUUCUGCACUAUACUCUCUUGGAACAGAUAAUUAAUGUUGUGACAAAUUUGUUCUUAAAAUGCUAAUAUAUAGAGAUCAAAAGCAUUAAAAUGACAUCUCUUUAUGUUGAAAUUUCAACUACUUUAUACAUCAUUUUUUCAUUUUUUAGGGUUGAAUUAAAUCCAAGACGUUAGUUUUAUUAAGAUGAGCAUUUACAAACUAAAGGAACAUCAACCAUGAGUUAUAAAACAGCAUAAACUAAAUAUUACUUCUAAUACUAGAAAUAGUGAGCAUCAUAACCAUCUACUUAGGAGAGUCUUUAUUUUGAAUGUGAUACCUGAUCGAUUGUUUCAUAUUUUGAAGGUAUUGAAUUAUAAAAUUCCUUUGCCUUUUCUUCUGGUGGAACACUGUAAAGUCU